CGCGAAUUCGCCCUUAGGGUUUGAUUAUGGCUCAGAUUGAACGCUGGCGGCAGGCCUAACACAUGCAAGUCGAGCGGUAGCACAGGAGAGCUUGCUCUCCGGGUGACGAGCGGCGGACGGGUGAGUAAUGUCUGGGAAACUGCCCGAUGGAGGGGGAUAACCACUGGAAACGGUGGCUAAUACCGCAUAAC
rnacentral:rRNA from 1 species